GGGCGGGGAGCGGGUACCAGCACAGGCGGGGCAGCGGGAAGCAGAGGCGCCUGGCCCGGGGGCAGGGUCAUCGCCCUACAGCGCGCUGCCACGGGGAUCCAUAGGGGGAGUUGAUCCUGGAAGAUGUCUCGCUGCUGCGGGUCACCUGGGAAGCGCGAGAGGGUCUUCUACAGCAAUGCGGAUUCCGCCCUGGCCUCUAUGCAACUUGCCUGUGUGCAGCAAUGGUGCCCCCACCUAUCGUGGCACAGUGGCGCGGACGCGUUAGCCUGACUGGAACAAGGACCACAGUGGCUCUCCCAAUAAACUUGUGCAAGUGUAUUGCCCACACUCUGGCUUAAACUUUUGAAGAGAUUACCGAGGCCGAUUACCGCGACGUGAUAGACCACAUCAAUGGGCUAGUCCACAUCUAGGCAUGCAUGCAUGCAGCCCUAACCCUCCCUCCUCUCCCAAAACAUUUCCAUCAUGAAAAUAAAAGCUGCUUACUGGGAACCUGCUCCUCUGUUUAUCCUCCACCAAGUACCGACUGCUGCGACUGGCUACCUUCCUCCUGGCUUGAGAAGAGCUCCUGGCUGCAUGCCUCCAGGGACUCCGAGGUGUCUCCUCCCACCCCAGUACCCUCACUCUCGCUUUCCUCCUCCUCCUCCUCCCCCCACUCUGAAGUGUCCAUCGUGGUCCUCGGAUUGGUAGUGAGGUCACCUCCAAGUAUCGCGUCCAGCUCUUUGUAAAAAUGGCAGGUCGUGGGGGCAGUGCCGGAGUGGGUGAUUUCCCUCACGGGCUUUGCAAUAGGCACUCCACAGCUCCUUCACUUUAACUCUGCACUGCAGCGUGUCCCGGUCAUGGCCCCUUUCCAGCAUGGCCCUUGAUAUCUGCCCAUAGGUAUCGUAAUUCCUAUGGCUGGAGCGCAGCUGAGACUGCACAGCUUCCUCCCCCUAAACACUGAUGAGGUCCAGCAACUCACCAUUGCUCCAUGCUGGGGUUCGUUGGCCACGUGGAGCCAUGGUCACCUGGAAAGAUUCACUGAUUGCACUCCACACCUGGCUGAGCAAACAGGAAGGGGAUUUUUAAAAUUUCCCAGGGCAUUUAAAGGGUGGGUCACUGAGGCCAGGGCCGUAGAGUUCGAACUGAUGAGCAGAGUGGCUGAACAGGCAUUCUGAUACUUCCGAAUACCUCUGGAGGCCAAUAACAGCGCUUUUGGUGGCCACACUGGAGGAGCAGCGCUGCAUCAGCAGCACUAUAGUCAUUAUUCUCCAGGUCGAGGUGGAGUACAACCAGCGCUGUAGCCAGGGAGAUACAGCGCUGUAUGUGCCUUGCAAGAGUGGACGGUGAGUGAGUUGCAGCGCUGUAAAGCCACUACCCACACUGCAACUCUCCAGUGUAAACAAGCCCUGAGAGUCAUGCUGGGUUGUUCCUGACUUGUGCAUCAGUAACAAUAAAGACAGUAGCAAUCAGAACUGUUAGCCAUUCUGCUGGUGAUGCAUGUGCCUAUAUAGAAUCCAGCUUACUGUCUCAUGACCAUAUGGACUCUGCAGUGUUAACAGGAGUAAUAAGUAGUUAAAACUUACUUUAGUCAGCAAAGUCAGCAGAUACGAUUGUGAACACACUCGGGAGGUGGGGUGGGGGUGGAUGGGUGGAGCAGGAAGGUGCCACUUUGACACAGCUGCUUUUCUCAGUAAAACUGCGGUUUGCUUAGGCACAGUUUCCAGUGGGUUUGUUUGCUGGCCAAGUAAGGCCUUAACGUGGAAUUGUGAGACCUUCUAAAAUUCUGGUUUUGGCGCAAACUACAAUUAUCCCUGAAGAUGUUUUUGACUGAAAUAAGUUAUAGAUUGUCUGCCUUUACUCCAGAUGGAUGACAUUUUUUGUUUGGCAGAGCUAUUGACAUGGAUUUCUUAUGAAAAAAGUUAAAUGGUAGUUUCAGUUAAAGGAUAUGGGGGUGGAGGGUAAGCGAGGCAGGGAAAGUUACAUAGCAUAUCUUGAUACAGUGUGCCAUUAUGGCAUUGAUAAAGGCUACAUUUGCUGUCUGGUUGUGAUUUAUCAUUGGGUGCAAUUUUAUAACAAUCCACUAGACGGCAAAAUUCUACUUAUAACUGAGUUGUACUUUUGUAUUGAAAUUGUAUUCAAGAGCAUUACAUGGAAGAUGAGAGGAUUACAUGAUCCUGUUAAACACACCUGGAAACUGUUGACAUUUAUGCAUUUUUAAAAAAAGACCAGAUUGCUAUAAUCUAGGAAAUGGACAUGGGGUCUGGCCCUAAGCCACUGAAAUCAAGUGGUGCUAUGCCAUUGACUUCAAUGGGUUUUAGAUCAAGCCUUGGCUGUCCAAAAAUGUAAAACAAAUUCCUUUCUGCACUAGCUGGGACAGGCGUGUGACUCCUCCAGAACAUCAGACUACAGGGCCUGUGGCACUGAUCCAGGAAGCACUCCAGUGGUUAGAUGUUCGGCUGCCUGUGUGUGUUCUUCCUGUGUGCUGCCCCAGCUCUGUGCAGACGGACGGCACAGCAGACCUCGAGUGAACCACUCAAUGACCACAAGAUUUGUUACGGGGCAAAGGUGCCAGGCCAGGUUUAUUGUCAACAAAGCACAGUCAUAGCACCUGGCAGAUGAGGAUACUAAGACAUGUAUGCCUGUGACAAUGGACGCAGCUCAGUGAAUAGUGAGACUUUCCAUUCCUCCCUCAGCUGGACAAAGAUACUCCCUUUGAGAUACAUCUGUAUACUCUGAUACAAACAAGUUAGCACUGCCUCUGACAUAGUUACUGCCCCCUGAUGUGGCUAGUUAUUACCCAUCGUCUUGUACAUGUUGGUUUGAUUAAAACAUCUUUAUUACUUACUGUCA